GUGAGCCAUGCCAAUGUGGUUUGGCUGGACUGUGAGUGUUUGAUGCAGUCUGAUGUGAGGGUGGGGGUGGCGCAGAGAACGUUGAAAUCAAAAAGGAUUCUGCUCUGUGGAGAUAAAGGAGCCACAGAGACAUACACGUGGAUCUGGGAAAUAAACCUUUUGCUACUCGUUCAAUUUUAGAAAGGGGGUUUCUGGCAUGGCUGAGCGAAACUUAAACUUCUUCCCCUGAGAAUUACAGGAAUUACAGGACCUGACAAAGCUAUAAAGAUUGAAACCUAUAGGAAGAAAAUCUGAACCAGAAACAAUAUGGCAGACUUGGGAUCUGACUCACAGAGGGAAGAACUUAUCAUUCUUCACGGGCACAUAGAAGCAUGAGAAUUUGGGUUCAAGCAAGUAAAUUCUAAAUUAGAACCCAUACAUAAAGUGUUUGCAAUGUCCAGUUAUAGCUCUAGGAUUUUUUUUUUUGUGAAAGUUGAUUGUUCUUCCUUACAGUAAAUUACUUGAAUUGUCUGUCUCUUCACUUAACUAUUUCUUUUUGUCUUUGCUAUCUUUUUUUUUUUUUUUUUUGGUAAGUAAAAAAUUUUCAG